rnacentral:tRNA from 1 species
GCCCCGGUGGCACAAUGGGUAAGCACUUAGCUGCUAACAAAAAGGUUGGUGGUUGGAACCCACCCAGUGGCU